GGGACACGUGGUAUCCUGUCUGAAUAUGGGGGGACCAUCCUCCAAGGCUAAAUACUCCUGACUGACCGAUAGUGAACCAGUACCGUGAGGGAAAGGCGAAAAGAACCCCGGCGAGGGGAGUGAAAAAGAACCUGAAACCGUGUACGUACAAGCAGUGGGAGCCUCUUAAUGGGGUGACUGCGUACCUUUUGUAUAAUGGGUCAGCGACUUAUAUUCUGUAGCAAGGUUAACCGAAUAGGGGAGCCGAAGGGAAACCGAGUCUUAACUGGGCGUUAAGUUGCAGGGUAUAGACCCGAAACCCGGUGAUCUAGCCAUGGGCAGGUUGAAGGUUGGGUAACACUAACUGGAGGACCGAACCGACUAAUGUUGAAAAAUUAGCGGAUGACUUGUGGCUGGGGGUGAAAGGCCAAUCAAACCGGGAGAUAGCUGGUUCUCCCCGAAAGCUAUUUAGGUAGCGCCUCGUGAAUUCAUCUCCGGGGGUAGAGCACUGUUUCGGCAAGGGGGUCAUCCCGACUUACCAACCCGAUGCAAACUGCGAAUACCGGAGAAUGUUAUCACGGGAGACACACGGCGGGUGCUAACGUCCGUCGUGAAGAGGGAAACAACCCAGACCGCCAGCUAAGGUCCCAAAGUCAUGGUUAAGUGGGAAACGAUGUGGGAAGGCCCAGACAGCCAGGAUGUUGGCUUAGAAGCAGCCAUCAUUUAAAGAAAGCGUAAUAGCUCACUGGUCGAGUCGGCCUGCGCGGAAGAUGUAACGGGGCUAAACCAUGCACCGAAGCUGCGGCAGCGACACUAUGUGUUGUUGGGUAGGGGAGCGUUCUGUAAGCCUGUGAAGGUGUACUGUGAGGUAUGCUGGAGGUAUCAGAAGUGCGAAUGCUGACAUAAGUAACGAUAAAGCGGGUGAAAAGCCCGCUCGCCGGAAGACCAAGGGUUCCUGUCCAACGUU
rnacentral:rRNA from 1 species